ACACCGGAGACAGGUGGUGCAUGGUUGUCGUCAGCUCGUGUCGUGAGAUGUUGGGUUAAGUCCCGCAACGAGCGCAACCCCUAUUUCCAGUAGCCAGCAUUUAAGAUGGGCACUCUGGAGAGACUGCCCGGGAUAACCGGGAGGAAGGCGGGGAUGACGUCAAAUCAUCGUGCCCCUUAUGAUCAGGGCUACACACGUGCUACAAUGGCGUAAACAAAGGGAAGCAAAGCGGUGACGCCAAGCAAAUCCCAAAAAUAACGUCCCAGUUCGGAUUGUAGUCUGCAACCCGACUACAUGAAGCUGGAAUCGCUAGUAAUCGCGGAUCAGAAUGCCGCGGUGAAUACGUUCCCGGGUCUUGUACACACCGCCCGUCACACCAUGGGAGUCGGAAAUGCCCGAAGUCAGUGACCCAACCGUAAGGAAGGAGCUGCCGAAGGUGGAGCCGGUAACUGGGGUGAAGUCGUAACAAGGUAGCCGUAAGGGCGAAUUCGCG
rnacentral:rRNA from 1 species